AUAGCCACGCGUCACCUCUCUAGCCGGGAGAGGGUCACAGGGCUAUGGCUUCUUAGCCCCCGCGACCCUCUCCCGGCUGGAGAGGUGACGCGGCUAU